rnacentral:rRNA from 1 species
UGAGGAAUAUUGGACAAUGGAGGCAACUCUGAUCCAGCCAUGCCGCGUGAAGGACUAAGGCCCUAUGGGUCGUAAACUUCUUUUGACGCAGAGCAAUAAGGUUCACGUGUGGACUGAUGAGAGUAUGCGUCGAAUAAGCAUCGGCUAACUCCGUGCCAGCAGCCGCGGUAAUACGGAGGAUGCAAGCGUUAUCCGGAUUUAUUGGGUUUAAAGGGUGCGUAGGCGGAUGGGUAAGUCAGCGGUGAAAUGUCCCGGCUCAACCGGGGAACUGCCAUUGAUACUGCCUGUCUUGAAU